CCCUUAGAUGUUCUGGGCUGCACGCGCGCUACACUGAUGCACUCAACGAGUUUACGACCUUGCCCGAUAGGGUUGGGUAAUCUUUUUAAAAUGCAUCGUGAUGGGGAUAGAUUAUUGCAAUUAUUAAUCUUCAACGAGGAAUUCCUAGUAAGCGCGAGUCAUCAGCUCGUGCUGAUUACGUCCCUGCCCUUUGUACACACCGCCCGUCGCUCCUACCGAUUGAGUGCUCAGGUGAAUAAUUCGGACUGCAGCAAUGUUUGGAUCCCGAACGUUGCAGCGGAAAGUUUAGUGAACCUUAUCACUUAGAGGAAGGAGAGGUCGUAACA
rnacentral:rRNA from 1 species